rnacentral:rRNA from 1 species
GACCAGGGCGGCCGCGGGAAUUCGAUUCAGGCCUAACACAUGCAAGUCGAGCGAUGAAGAUCCUUCGGGAGUGGAUUAGCGGCGGACGGGUGAGUAACACGUGGGUAACCUGCCUGAGAGAGGGGAAUAGCCUGCCGAAAGGAAGAUUAAUACCGCAUAACAUUGUAGUUUCGCAUGAAACAGCAAUUAAAGGAGUAAUCCGCUAUGAGAUGGACCCGCGUCGCAUUAGCUAGUUGGUGAGGUAACGGCUCACCAAGGCAAAGAUGGGUAGCCGCCCUGGGGGGGUGGUCGGCCACAGUGGGACUGAGACACGGCUCAGACUCCUACGGGAGGCAGCAGUGGGGAAUAU